UAUAACCCUCUACUAGUUACUUUGCCACUCUUUUAAAACAUUUGGGGUAUCCAGAACUUUGAGGUACAUUUAAUUACCAGCACAUUUCAUGAUUUAUUUAUACUUCAGUUCUCCUUGAUCAUUGCAGUAAAUGCGUAAGACCAACAUAAUUUUUAGUAGUCAUUGGUCAACAGCUCAAUUAUCUGCACAAGUCUAGCUAGGUCUGUUUACUUGUCCUAUGAGAGGGAGUAGAGUACGAAUUAAACAUUAUUCUUUGACACACCCCACUAACAAAAUGGUAUUGUUAGGUUACAACAACUACAAACUUUCUUGUUUACCAAAAUAUUUCCACAGAAGAAUAUAUGGACCUUGGCUGGGACGAGAUAUGCAUGAUAAUUAAGGGGAUUUGUAGUGGCUUAGAUGCCCUUCACGAGGAAAAAAUUGUUCAUCUGGACCUUAAGCCACAGAAUAUAUUGAUGGAUGGUAACAUGAUGCCCAAAAUUGUCGACUUUGGCUUGGCAAGGCUCUUGGGCAAAAAUAAAUCAAAAACAUACACUGAGAGGGUGACAGGAACAACGUAAGGUCCCUAUCUUGCAACAACUCUUUUGUUUUUACUAUCUUCAUGGACUCAUUAUGCUUGCAGUGUCUCAAAACAAUAAUUUUUUUCUACAGCGGAUACAUGGCACCGGAAUAUUUUAAUGAUGGCAAAAUCUCUACCAAGGCAGAUAUAUUCAGUUUGGGUGUUAUAAUGAUUGAGUUAAUGACAGGUAGUAGGAAUUAUCCCCGGAGCAUGCCACAUUAUUAUUAUUCCUACACCUCGUAUGGGAAUACACUCGAUACUACCCAAGCACAGCUAGAGGAAUUCUCCGGGACUGUAAGCUGAGUUCGUUACGGUUUAAUUGGGUACUUGUAUGCUCUGUGUACGUAGGCUCGAUCACCUAUCCAACUGUGCAGGUGCUUGAAAAAUGGAAGAAAAUAUUUCAAAAAACACUGAAGGAUGCAUCACUCGUUGAAGUUUCUACCAAUCAAUUGAAGCAACUGAUUGCUAUAGCCCUAAAAUGUGUGGACAGUGACCUAAAUAAAAGACCUAAUGCAGCAGAUAUACUUCAAAUUUUUUCUCGUAAUGAAGCAGGACAAAGCUCAUGCGAUCCAUGUUGCAAAUAUAGCCAGGUAUAAUCUCUCAUCCAGCAUUGCAAUCGUAAUCAGAUGAAAAACAAUGACGAGGGAGGUUUCCAAUCAACAUAUACCAUCACGUUGCAUUGGAAAACAUAUUUUAGGUCGUCUAUUAAAAUUUUACCUUUAUUUCAUUUGUAAAUGCGAUCAAGAGAUACCCUAUGUCCAAUCAAAAAGAACAUUCUACGUAACUAAAUACAAAUACAAUAGUGACUUUAUUGCGUCCUGUUGAAUGCAGGUUAGAGAUCUCGUCAGCGUGCAGCCCACCGAACUCAAAAUACACAUGGCAGAUCCAAACAAGUUGUACCGCUCGUCAUGCUUGCUGCACCUAAACAAUAACACACUUGGACAUGUCGCCUUCAGGAUCCUAUCCAAUACUCUAGCGCGGCACUUCAUUUGGCCGAAAUUUGGUUUCGUGCCUCCCGGGUGCAGGUACACUGUUGCUGUCACAAUGCGCUACCAGCAAAAUCCACCGCCCAGCGAAGACCUGGUUUUUACACUGGAGAGCACCAGAGCGAGUGAUCAGGAAAUAAAGAACGUUAUUUCAAGGCAUUUAAUUUAUGACCACGAUGAUUUCUUUGCGAAAGCUAAAGAUAAGGGCCGUCAGGUUCACGAGGAAAAAUUAACUCCUGUUUACUCAAAUAAUGAGGUGAGUUUCCUGAAAAAAACAAAGAGUUUGUGAUAACUAAACGGUACUUUUAGUACUUAUUAUAGCUCCUGUUUAUGAAUUGCAAAACACUAUAUACUUUUUCUGUACAAUGCAUGGUCCAAACACAGACCCUCACACACGCAGUCAUUUCCUGCAAAUGGGGGCACACACAACUUACCCAUAAAAGAGAACAUAGACAUGCAAAGAAUAUUUAGAAAUGUUUAUGGGCGUAAACUUAUGUAAAAACCUUGACCAUACGUCAACCUUUUCCUGAAUGUCGUUAAUUUUUUUAAUACAAUCACAUAUUUUACAUUUCAUGUACCACAUUUAUAUUUUAUAGAAAACAUUAACUUGUUCAUAUUUGUACCCUUGCCUCCGUAUCUUACAAUUACUAUAAGGUAUUCCUUUAAUUUCGAGCCUUGGUGUUAAUCUUUACAAAACCAGAUAAAAAGAACAUAAACCCUAGAAAUUCUCAAAAGCCAGAAGCAUAUAAGCAUCAAUUCUACUUUCUAAAAAAUUACCACCUCUCCCAUUAUAAUAUAGUUUAAGGUAACCCCUCAAUUUAUCUAUAGAUUACACACCUAUACUAUUAUAAAAAUAUUUGAAUACCAUACCAUACAAAAACUUGUAUGGUUGUAUCAUUUUAAUUCAACAAGUAUUAAAAUGUGCAAACGGAUACACGAAAUUGUUCAAUAAGUGUAUAUAUGGUCACAUGUACUGCACAUAGAUGCAUUUUGCCACCGUGACAUGUGACGUUGAUCGUUUUAUGCAUGCAACAUCCUAUCUUUGCCCCUCUUUUUUUUUUUCGAAACAAGGCCUGCCCCCAUUUCCAUUGCUGGCAACCGAAAUAACAGAGUACUUGUGUACAAAUGGCAAGAAAAAGGGAGUGAAGAAGAAACAGAAAAGCGCCAGGACCAUCUAUCCUGAUUCAGUCUAAGCGCCCAGGCUGGGGGUUCUGCAUAUCGAUUACAGAUUCUUAAAGCAAGCACCAAUUACAUGUCAGGGCUCCACCAAGGUUCUACAGCCCCUCUUUUUAUUUAUGUUUUAACCGUGCAUGCAGCUCUUAUUUUUUUGAAAGAAUAGGUCGUUGAAAAUAUAAAAAAUAAAAUGAAACUUCGACGGUAAUCCAAUGAUGAUUGAUAUAUUUUUUGAAAGAAUAGGUUGGUGAAAAGAUAAAAAAGAAAAUGAAACUUCGUCUAGCAUACCAUCUUCCAUUGACGAUGUACAGCCCACAAACGCCUCCACAGCAGCACAGGAGCAAACAUUUAUGCACGAGUACCAACUUUAUAUUCAGCAAAUGUGUCUGUGCAUACGCUUUGUUAUAAUGCAGGAAACAAUAUGAAUAAUUUCUAAAAAGUAGGUACCAAAUGUUUAAACUUAGGACCGAGUUCAAAUGCAGAAACAGAACUUUAGUAUUCCAAGUCAAUUUAAAAUCACUGGAUUAAAAACCACAUAAAAAUUACGGUUACAUGAUAUAUCGACUCAGUCUUAAUUACAUAAACAAAAUUGAAAAUGAAGUUUGAAUUAUGGUUCAGACUAAAGUGGAAUUCUUGUGAAACCAAAGAGCACCGAAUCCUAUCUAAUAAAUUUUUUCAGUCAAAGAGCUACUCCGUUCACCGAUGUCACCCAUUGGCAAAGUUUUACUUUUUUAUCGUUUCACCUGUCUAUUCUUUCAAACAAACAAGAGCUGCAUGCAUGGUUAAAUCUUAGAUGAGAAGCGGGGGAUAAAUAAAGGGGCAAAUGCAUAAAACCUUCCAUGCCAUCUGUUAUGGUGGCAAAAUGUACAUCUACUGCAAACUUAGCUACUUUUUAGACCAGAGAGAUACAAUCAUGCAAGUUGCGGUACGAUUGGUGAAUUUUACACAAAAUGUUUUAAAGUAACCCCACUAAUCUUCGCUUGAACCGUGCCUGUGUAAUUGAGAAUAAUAAUUUGAAAUGACCCUAUAAUUUUGCAUCUAAUUACGAUCACAUGACUAGUUUGUGAAUUGUGAUGCAGAUAGUUUGGCCGGUUAUAUUUGGCCGAAAACUCAUAGUGUAGGAGCACAACACAUAUAUGAUGACAUGGGUGCUCUAACAAGUGCUAUCAUAACCUGUGGUGAGGAGGGUUGGAAAUUAAUUGAAAAUUUAUUGUAGGAAAGCAAAAUACAUGAGCUUGGACGUUAGUCAUCAAGCUGAACUUUCAGUUUGAGUUGGGCUCAUAUCCAUGAUUAUAUUUAUUGUCUGCCCUAGUUGAGCUGGAUACAAAGUUGUUGGUCUUGGUGGGACGUAGGAUGUCAAACUAGAUUGGAACCACUCCACACUAUAACAGAUAUAACCUUAGCGCUUGAUGGUAUAUGUGACUAUUUCUACAGUCAUUGUGUACCACGCUCUAUAUAUCUUGAGCAGUAUACUGACUUUUCUUGACUUUCCUCCUUACAUGUCAACUUCAACUUUAUUGUGGUGGUGUGUU
rnacentral:lncRNA from 1 species